UAAGGAAUAUUGGUCAAUGGACGCAAGUCUGAACCAGCCAUGCCGCGUGCAGGAAGACGGCCCUACGGGUUGUAAACUGCUUUUGUACCGGAAUAAACCUUUUCACGUGUGAGAAGCUGAAUGUACGGUAAGAAUAAGGAUCGGCUAACUCCGUGCCAGCAGCCGCGGUAAUACGGAGGAUCCAAGCGUUAUCCGGAUUUAUUGGGGUUUAAAAGGGUGCGUAGGGUGGCCUAUUUAAAGUCAGGGGGUGAAAGACGGUAGCUUAACUAUCGCAGUGCCUUUGAUACUGAUGGGCUUGAAUACACUUGAGGUAGGCGGAAUGUGACAAAUAGCGGUGAAAUGCAUAGAUAUGUCACAGAACACCAAUUGCGAAGGCAGCUUACUAAAGUGUUAUUGACACUGAGGCACGAAAGCGUGGGGAUCAAAACAGGAUUAGAUACCCUGGUAGUCCACGCCCUAAACGAUGAAUACUCGAUGUUGGCGAUAUACGGUCAGCGUCUAAGCGAAAGCGUUAAGUAUUCCACCUGGGGAGUACGCCCGCAAGGGUGAAAGCUCAAAGGAAUUUGACGGGGUCAUAGCUGUUUCCUG
rnacentral:rRNA from 1 species